GAAGGGUAAAGCAAAAGCGGGGAAAGAAGCCGGGGAGCGGUGGACCAGACAUUCAGACCUCCUGAAAGGCUCGUGCGGAGGCAGAGGCGGGAUCUUCCGGAGGUGAGAAUUGUUUUGUUAUUGUAGCAGAAUGGGGAGGAAUUGAGGGGAAAAUGGAGAUAGAAUCUGAAAGAGCCCCAAACGCGAGAACGUGUAGCUCCCCAAGAGUAAGAUCUCACAGAAGAACUAGACAGAAAACUAGGCGUCUGGGAAGCCUGAAAUCCUUGGAGGAGUGGCAUCAUCAUGACCCUCUGUGUUCUCACUUAUAAGUGGGAGCUGAAUGAUGAGAAUACAUGGACAGAUAGAGUGGGGGUGGGGACAACACACACUUGAGCCUGCCAGAGGGUAGGGCUGGGAGGGUACCCUCAAGUUUCUUUUCUUCUGCUUUUCCUCCUAAUUCAGUGUGGAAGAUGAUCAAAGUAUGACAUUUCUUCUACCCCAGAGGUUGGCAUUUCUGCAGGCACAAAUGAGCUUGGUUUUCAAGCACCGCUCUUUGAACACAAGGAAUUCCUUUAAUGAUCACGCCGGACUAUAUAGACUUUGGAAUCAGACUCUUUGAAUUCCAGCUCUGCCAUUUACCAACUUUGACACUUUGGAAAAAGCAGAGAUGUCUAGAUCUUUCUCUAAAAAUGUUCUACUCUGAGAAAUUGUGAGCAAAGUACCAAGAUUUAAAGCCAUCAGGGGACUGAAGUGAGAGCAACUUAUGAAAAGAUCAAGCAAAAGGACUCAAAUAUUUGAAAUAAACAUACACGUCCUGCUGGUCAAGUGUGCACAUUGGAGAGUCAGCACUGUGUGGUGAUUCUUUAAGGGAUUCAUCUAGGGAAUUUGAAUUGUGACAAGACUUUAACUUCAUGAAAGAUGAGGAAGAGUGCCCAUUCACGCUUUUAAAAGUGAGAAAUAAAGGGUGACUUUUUAGUAUGAGGUUUUCAGAACUUGAAAAUAAAGAAUUUGUACCACAAAUAUCUCUAGGAAUGAUGAUCACUUAGGUCUCUGAGAA
rnacentral:lncRNA from 1 species